AGUCCGAUACUUCAGGUGUUACUUGCUGAUCGAGCGCGGCUUUCAUCUGUGGAAUUCUUCUUUUCAAAUUGAACAGCACGUUUGAAAACACGAUUAACGGAAAAACCACAGACAGGCAUUCAUCUGACCGAUAAAUUGCUAUGACACCCAAGGGAUCUCUGAACAUAGCGGUCAGUGCCAGCACCGACAUUGCUGGCCAUAAAUUGUGUUUAAUUCCUACUCGUCACUUUGAAAUCCCCGACAAUGAGACAAAGAGAUAAAACGCGACGGCAAAUUUAUGAAGACUCCUUUUGCAUUGUUUUGUCAGCUUUAUUUCUGGCGGAAUUGAUAUCGGUCCCCCAUGAUCAAGAGCAUCAACUGUAAUGUCGAUUCAUCUUUUUAUCAAUAUACAAUUGCGCCAUAUCCAGAAUAGUACAAAAUGACGAACUUUGCUGGAAUAUUCGGGGUAUACGCUCGGACUUUCUUUGGUUCAACUUUAGGAAACCCUAGCUGCACAAAUGUGGUACUAGUAUAUCUUAAUGCCUCAAAAUGCGGUCAGCCGAUUCGCAUGGGAUAAUCUUUAUAACAAGAUCAUGGCAUGUUUGUACACAUAAAUGAAACUGAAGACUAAAGUCCAAAACCUAAUACACUGAGAAAGCGGACAGAAAAUGAUACUCAAGUUCAUGAUAAGCAUAACUACUUCAAUUAAUAAUAAAACAUAUAUGUCUAUCAUUCUAGAAUGAUUUCUUUAUUAAAAUAGUUUCAUUGAAUUGUUUUAGUUUUCCAGUGGAUAUUUUUUAAUCAGGUCUCAUUUGUUUGCAACUUUAUCUUCAUUUACUAAAUAAUAUUUUGAUCUUGAUUGUGAAUUGUUACAUAACAUCGUCAACGUACAUGUAGUUUAACUGAUGUUAUGAAUAUCAUUUUAUUUAGUCAAUAAUACAUUUCUUGUAUUGUUUAAACUAUGUGUCGAGAGUUGAGAGUGAAUAUACCCAAAAAUUCUAAAAGAUGUACAUGGAUGCGUAUUGUAUACAUUAAAGUUAAAAAUUACGAUGUCUUGUGUUGGGGUAAAUUUACCCCAUAAAACUGCAAAACAAUCAUGAUCUGUAUAUAGUUUAUAAGGUUUUAACUUUGUAAAAAUGACGUCUUGUGUUGGGGGGUAAAUUAAUCCCCCAACAAUGCAACACAGUUAUUUUUUGUUUAUUUCUAAGACUUCGAUUUGUAAAAACGUCGUCUUGUGUUG